rnacentral:tRNA from 1 species
AGUCCUGUAGCUCAGUGGUUAGAGCGCUCGCCUCAGAAGCGAGAGACCUGGGUUCGAUUCCCGGCAGGGUGA